rnacentral:rRNA from 1 species
CUUGGUCAUUUAGAGGAAGUAAAAGUCGUAACAAGGUUUCCGUAGGUGAACCUGCGGAGGGAUCAUUACACAAAUAUGAAGGCGGGCUGGAACCUCUCGGGGUUACAGCCUUGCUGAAUUAUUCACCCUUGUCUUUUGCGUACUUCUUGUUUCCUUGGUGGGUUCGCCCACCACUAGGACAAACAUAAACCUUUUGUAAUUGCAAUCAGCGUCAGUAACAAAUUAAUAAUUACAACUUUCAACAACGGAUCUCUUGGUUCUGCAUCGAUGAAGAACGCAGCCCCCCCGUGCCCCCGCCCCGCCCGCCGCGCGCGGCGGGCGA